AAUUCAAACACACGCAAAGAUGGCCUUAUCGGUUUACUUUAUUUUUUUCCUACUUGCCACAACUGUUAUCUGCUUUCCUUCUCCUUUCGAAUGGAAAAAGCAGACUUUUAUCAAUGAUGAUUACAGCUGUAAUAGUGACCGAGACUGCUGCGAAGAUGAACGGUGCGAGUUUUCUUGUCCUGGAAGAGUGGGGGUUUACUGUAACCGUAGAUGUGUUAAAUGUUGAUGAUAACAUUUCAUGCAUCUAACAAAAACAA
rnacentral:lncRNA from 1 species